rnacentral:rRNA from 1 species
AUUGAACGCUGUCGGCAGGCCUAACACAUGCAAGUCGAACGAGUGGCGGACGGGUGAGUAAUGUCUGGGAAACUGCCCGAUGGAGGGGGAUAACUACUGGAAACGGUAGCUAAUACCGCAUACACUCGGAUGUGCCCAGAUGGGAUGAGCUAGUAGGGGGGGUAACGGCUCACCUAGGCGACGAUCCCUAGCUGGUCUGAGAGGAUGACCAGCAACACUGGAACGUAGACACGGUCCAGACGCCUACGGGAGGCAGCAGUGGGGAAUAUUGCACAAUGGGCGCAAGCCUGAUGCAGCCAUGCCGCGUGUAUGAAGAAGGCCUUUGGGUUGUAAAGUACUUUCAGCGAGGAGGCGUUACUCGCAGAAGAAGCACCGGCUAACUCCGUGCCAGCCGCCGCGGUAAUUC